GGUGCGGUGAUGAGAAAGCUAACUCAUGACAUGCCCUUUGAGAUUCUCGAGGGUUUGGUAUGAUAAACUCUAGUUACGCUUGGCUUCUGAGUACC